GAUGGCUUUGUCGUUACACGCUCAGGUGAUCACAGAGUUCUGCAGGACUAUAGGUGCUGAUGGUAAACAGAGGCAGGGUUUGAUCCGAUUGGCCAAAAAGAACGGGGAGAAGCUUGGAUUCCUGGCAUGAGAGGUCAUUCGAUGCUUGUGGAAGAGGAUAUCCCUCAUGAAUGAGAAUGUAAGAAAGUCGUAGCACCUGUGUAUCUUUAUGCAUCAUAAGGUUGAUUUGCUUCCUUCUCGGGGUGAUCUGGCAUCUUGUUCUAUGUGGCUGCUUUUUCUCUUACAUGGUAAAGAGAUUUUUGGUUAACUGAUUUGAUAGUAAAAGUUAUUUGAUAGAAUUUUAUAGUAAAAGUUAUUUUGGUUUAGCUGAUUUUUCUUUUGUUGUGAUUGUGGUUUCAAUAAAAUGCUACAGAUUAUACGAAGUCCUGUCUAAAUAAACUAUGAUGCUUCUUUUCGGAUAGAGAAGCAUUUAUGUUUCGAUGUAAUGACUAUAGCAUAAAAUAACAAAUAUCAUUUAUCUUAGCAUUCUUUAAGACUCCCAUUACAUAAGGUCAUGGAUGGUGCUUCACUCGCCCUUUGUAUUGUCAUAUAAUCAAAAUCAAUUUAUUUUGGUAUUUUAUAGUGAGCUACGGUGCAUUGCAAAACAUAAGUUAGUCAUCAUAAGAGUAUCUUGAAAGUUUGAGCCAUACAUGACUAAUCAAUUCACUUAUGAGAUAGAUUUGUCAAUAUAAAAUAUAGAAUUAGGAAAGAACUUCCUCCAACAAACAUAAUUAAUUACACUCCUCGAGUAACACAACUAAGAAAUUGAGUCUUUAUCCCUCCAACCCAGUUUUCAUGGAAGAUAGAUAUAACUCUUCAGUGCCAUUGAUGAGCUCAUAGAGCUACAGGGACACUCUCUUGGCUUCUCAAAGGGCAUCAAGUGUGAGAAGAUAAAAGGGGAAAUAGUUGACAUCCAUCUCAUAAACGUCCAAGAUACUGUGUGAAAAAUACAGCACUGAGAGGAUGCAUUCUAACCUAUUCGUAGAAACUGUUUGCCAAACUUGUGGGUAAGGAUGGAAAGCUGUCAUGAGAUGUCUGAAGUAGGUAGACCUCGAGCUACUACUCCACACAACAAGAGAUGGUCAUGGAGGAAACCAUCAUCAAAGUUCUGAGAGUAACUCCGUGGAUCAUAAGCAAAACUUGUCGACUUGUGCCACAAUGGCGUUGUCAUGCCCCUCAACUCCGACCUCAACUUCCAAAACACUUGCUUCAUCGACCUCCAACACUCCAUGGACACCCUCAACUUGAAUCUUAAGCAAAUUCCUCACCUUACUCCUUC
rnacentral:lncRNA from 1 species